rnacentral:rRNA from 1 species
UUUAAUUGAAGAGUUUGAUCAUGGCUCAGAUUGAACGCUGGCGGCAGGCUUAACACAUGCAAGUCGAGCGGUAGCACAAGGGAGCUUGCUCCCGGGUGACGAGCGGCGGACGGGUGAGUAAUG